CACGCCGUAAACGAUGAGUGCUAGGUGUCGGGUGUCAAAGCUCGGUGCCGGAGCUAACGCAUUAAGCACUCCGCCUGGGGAGUACGUACGCAAGUAUGAAACUCAAAGGAAUUGACGGGGACCCGCACAAGCAGCGGAGCAUGUGGUUUAAUUCGAAGCAACGCGAAGAACCUUACCAGGACUUGACAUGCCCUUGCUCGUUCUAGAGAUAGAACUUUAUCUUCGGAGACAAGGGACACAGGUGG
rnacentral:rRNA from 1 species